rnacentral:rRNA from 1 species
AUACGUAGGUGGCAAGCGUUGUCCGGAUUCACUGGGUGUAAAGGGCGUGUAGGCGGAGCGGCAAGUCAGGAGUGAAAUCCAUGGGCUCAACCCAUGAACUGCUUUUGAAACUGUCGCCCUUGAGUAUCGGAGAGGCAGGCGGAAUUCCUAGUGUAGCGGUGAAAUGCGCAGAUAUUAGGAGGAACACCAGUGGCGAAGGCGGCCUGCUGGACGACAACUGACGCUGAGGCGCGAAAGCGUGGGGAGCAAACAGGAUUAGAUACCCUGGUAGUCCACGCUGUAAACGAUGAAUACUAGGUGUGGGGGGACUGACCCCUUCCGUGCCGCAGUUAACACAAUAAGUAUUCCACCUGGGGAGUACGAUCGCAAGAUUGAAACUCAAAUGAAUUGACGGGG